rnacentral:rRNA from 1 species
GACGAACGCUGGCGGCGUGCUUAAUACAUGCAAGUCGAACGGAAAGGCCCUGCUCUUGUGGGGUGCUCGUUUGGCGAACGGGUGAGUAACACGUGAGUAACCUGCCCUUGAAUUUGGGGUAACAUCAGGAAACUGGGGCUAAUAUCGGAGAGGAGCUACUGCAGCAUGGGGGGGGUUGGAAAAAUUCGGCGGUUGUGGAUGGACUCGCUGGUUACCAGCUUCUUGGGCUAGUAGUGGCUUACCAAGUCUGUGACGGGUAGCCGGCCUGAGAGGGUGACCGGGGACAAGAGUACUGCGAGACGGCGCAGACUCGUACGGGAGGCAGUGGUGGGGAGCAUUGCGGAACGGGCGCGAGCCUGAUGCAGAAACGUUGCGAGCGUGAUAACGGGCUUCUGGUUGUAAACCGCUUUCGCAUGUGACGUGCCGGGCGUGACGGUACUGGGUCAGGAAGCACCGGCUAACUACGUG